rnacentral:rRNA from 1 species
UACAGAGGUCCCGAGCGUUGUUCGGAUUCACUGGGCGUAAAGGGUGCGUAGGUGGUGAGGUAAGUCGGAUGUGAAAUCUCCGAGCUCAACUCGGAAAUGGCAUUGGAAACUACCUUGCUCGAGGGUUGGAGGGGGGGACUGGAAUACUUGGUGUAGCAGUGAAAUGCGUAGAUAUCAAGUGGAACACCAGUGGCGAAGGCGAGUCCCUGGACAACUCCUGACACUGAGGCACGAAAGCUAGGGGAGCAAACAGG